ensembl:lncRNA LOC102553457 uncharacterized LOC102553457
CUUUCAUCAUACAAAGAGCCUGCUGUGUCCUCCUGGGAUCUAUCAGUGAAGCACAGAGAUUCCCACUUAUUUUUUCCCUUUAGUUUUAUUCUGCCUGUUUGUUGACGUUGCCCAGAGCUUGUGUUCUAACUUUAUUACACCUGGUUGGUGAAGCCACCCUUCAUCUCUAGGAGAAAAUGACAGAAAGAUGUGGAAUCCGCCUCUGGAUGAGAACACAAAGUAGCUCUCAGAAGAAAAAGAAGUGGCCACACACAGGUCUUCUCUUCUCUAUUCAAGCCCUAGGAAAAUAUCCUCACAGACACACUCAGCUGUGUCCCCCAAGGUAUUUUAAACCCCUUCAAGCUGACAAUGAAGACUAACCACCACACUCUGCCUAAGACGUAAUGUCCCAGUGACAUGCCACGGGAUGGAACCUUCUCUGCAGCCGACUGUGCUCCAUGAACUUCGCCCAAAUUCUGGGGAACCCAAAUGAAGCAAGCUAACAUCACUCUGCCAAGG